AUAGAUCAGUUGAGGACAAUCUAAAAUAGAUCAUCCGAGGUUGAGAAGUUCGGAAUCACUGCUUAUGAAAUGUCUGACUUUUUGUCAUAUCUGCAUCCUUGUCAGGAGUCCAUUGCCUAUAUCUCGGCAGGAACGAAAGAUGUCUCAGUUGAGGCUAAGGUACAGAUCCACAACAAAUGCCCUCUACUCUUGAGGUCGAGCUAUUCAUAGAUCGUUCGAAGAGAGUACCAAUCCGAGGUUGAGG
rnacentral:lncRNA from 1 species